UUAGUAUAAAUAAAUAACAAAUGAAUGACUAGGAUGUUAUAAUGAGGACGUUAUUAAAAUACGAAAAGUUGGUGAAGAAAAAAUGAAGCCAAAUUUCCUAUAGAAAACGCAAUUAUAAAUUAAAAUCUCAGGAACUGAAACAUCUCAGUACUAGAGAGGAAAGAAAUCAAGCGAGAUUCCGUCAGUAGUGGUGAGCCGAAAUCAAGCGAGAUUCCGUCAGUAGUGGUGAGCGAAGGCGGAGGAGACCUAAUAAGUUUUAUUCAUAAUAAUCCAAAUCCAUAGAGGUUAACAGCCCCGUAGAUUGUUAUGACUAAAAUGUACGAUUUGAGUAGAAUUAUUUGAAGACAGGUGGUCCAUACAUCUAAAACUAAAUCUUAUAACAUACCCAUAGUGUACGAGUACUGUGAAGGAAAGUUGAAAGAGAGAAUAUAUACUUAAAAUGAAAUAGAUUCUGAAAUUUGUUAUUUACAAGCAGACGAUUUUCGUCGUACCUUUUGCAUAAUGGGUUCGUGAGAAAAAUAUUUGGCAAACUUAAGUUUAUAAACGCAGGUGCAGUGAAAAUGAGUUUUAAUGUUAAGAGCUUUAGUCAAAUAGAGCCCGAUACCUAGUGAGCUAACCAUGGGCAGUUUGAAGCGUCCCUAAUAGGAAGUGGAGGAACGAACUGGUGAUUGUGGCAAAAAUCUCAGAUGAUCUGUGGUUAGGGGUAAAAAGCCAAUCGAACUAGGAAAUAGCUGGUUUUCUGCGAAAGCUAUUUAAGUAGUGCGUCAUCUAACUAUUCUUACAUGGUAAAGCACUGAAUGGGGACAUCUAUAGGGUGUAUUCAACCAAACUAUGAAAGUGUAAGAAGAAAGAUGAUAGACAGACAGCGGGCGAGAAGGUCCCUUGUCAAAAAGGAAACAACCUAGAUCAGAAGUUAAGGUCAUAAAAAUUAACUAAGUGUAAAAGGAGCCAAUAGACUGAGACAACAAGAAAGUGGGCUUGGAGCCAGCCAUCUUUGAAAGAUUACGUAACAGUUCACUUGAUAAAUUUAUAGGUUUCUAAAAUUUUGGUGGCUUAAGUUUAUUUUAAGUGACAACCGAAACUCUGGAUAUAUGGUAGCAGAACGUUCUGUAAUUUAUAGAUUACGAAAGUUAAUCAGAAGUGAUAAUGCGAGCAUGAGUAAACAACAGUGUGAGAAUCACUGUCAUAGCCCUAGGGUUCCAAUAGUUGAGAUUAUCAUGAUUGGGUUAUACAGCCCCUAAGAGUGUAUCAAUGGGAAAAAAUUAAUAAGUGAAAAGUUUAAUUUAAUAAGCUGUACUUAAACUAACACAAGUGGGCUAAAAGUGAUGGUAUAAUUUAUCUUAAGGAACUCGGCAAAAUGACCCUGUAAGAUAGCGAGAAGGGGUGCCUAAUCUUAAUAGGCAUGAUAUUAAGACUAGGCCUCAGAAAAGAGGGGGUGUCGACUGUUUACCAAAAACAUAGCUUCCACCAAAGGCCUGUGAGGCUGAAGCAUUGGAGGUGAGGCCUGCCCAGUGGUUGUAUCUCAACCCAUGUUAUUAACGAAGUAACAUGAUUAAGGACAAUUAAAUGGCCGCGGUAAAUCUGACCGUGAUAAUGUAGCGCAAUCAAUAGCCAAUUAAUUGUUGGCAAGUAUGAAUGGCGUAACGAAUGCCCCACUGUCUCAAGAUAAAAACCAAUGAAAUUGAAAUCGUGGUGAAGAUGCCACGUACAAAUUGUAAGACGAGAAGACCCCAUUGAGCUUUACUGGAGGCUUAUAUUGUUUUUUUUAAAAUUAAUGUGUAGAUUAUGUGGGUAUAUUAUGAAAAACCACUCAUUAAUUAUAAAAAAACUGAUCGAGUAUACGCCGGACAGUUUGGUUGGGGCGACCACCUUCUAAAAAGUAACGAAGGUGUACAUAAGGUAAAUAAUAUAAUAGUAUAAAGCAAAAAGCCUGACAGCAAGGGGAACUCCCGAGCUGACACGGGGAAAACACCCCCGUGGGUUAUAAUGACCCGUUAGUUAAGAGUGGGUUUGCUAACGAGCAACGAAUAAAAGUUACCAUGGGGAUAACAGCGUAAUAUCGUUCGAGAGUUCAUAUCGACGACGAUGUUUGCGACCUCGAUGUUGAAUUGCGGUAUCCUAGAGGUGCAGCCGCUUCUAAGGGUUGGACUGUUCGUCCAUUAAAACCGUACAUGAUUUGAGUUCAGACCGGCGUGAGCCAGGUCGGUUUCUAUCUACAAUUUGUUUUGGAAACAUUAGAUAUAACUACACUCUAGUACGAAAGGACCGAGUGAUAGGUAUCCGCUGGUGUACCAAUUACUAAUUAUUACGGUUGUUGGGUGGCUACGAUAAAAAUAAAUAAUCCCUGAAUGCAUCUCAAGGGAGAAGUAAAAUAUUAUUCUUUGUUUCUAUUAAAAGACUGUUUGAGAAUAAGACACAGAUAGGGUCUAUGUAAAUUAUAUUACGAUUUGCUUAAGACUACUAAGCUUGUAAAAAUUAC
rnacentral:rRNA from 1 species